UACGUAGGGUCCGAGCGUUGUCCGGAAUUAUUGGGCGUAAAGGGCUCGUAGGCGGUUCGUCACGUCGGGAGUGAAAACUCGGAGCUUAACUCCGAGCCUGCUUCCGAUACGGGCAGACUAGAGGUAGGCAGGGGAGAGCGGAACUCCUGGUGUAGCGGUGGAAUGCGCAGAUAUCAGGAAGAACACCGGUGGCGAAGGCGGCUCUCUGGAACGGUACUGACGCUGAGACGCGAAAGCGUGGGGAGCGAACAGG
rnacentral:rRNA from 1 species